rnacentral:rRNA from 1 species
UCGAACGAGCGAGAGAGAGCUUGCUUUCUCGAGCGAGUGGCGAACGGGUGAGUAACGCGUGAGGAACCUGCCUCAAAGAGGGGGACAACAGUUGGAAACGACUGCUAAUACCGCAUAAGCCCACGGUGCCGCAUGGCACAGAGGGAAAAGGAGCAAUCCGCUUUGAGAUGGCCUCGCGUCCGAUUAGCUAGUUGGUGAGGUAAUGGCCCACCAAGGCGACGAUCGGUAGCCGGACUGAGAGGUUGAACGGCCACAUUGGGACUGAGACACGGCCCAGACUCCUACGGGAGGCAGCAGUGGGGAAUAUUGCACAAUGGGGGAAACCCUGAUGCAGCGACGCCGCGUGGAGGAAGAAGGUCUUCGGAUUGUAAACUCCUGUUGUUGGGGAAGAUAAUGACGGUACCCAACAAGGAAGUGACGGCUAACUACGUGCCAGCAGCCGCGGUAAAACGUAGGUCACAAGCGUUGUCCGGAAUUACUGGGUGUAAAGGGAGCGCAGGCGGGAAGACAAGUUGGAAGUGAAAUCUAUGGGCUCAACCCAUAAACUGCUUUCAAAACUGUUUUUCUUGAGUAGUGCAGAGGUAGGCGGAAUUCCCGGUGUAGCGGUGGAAUGCGUAGAUAUCGGGAGGAACACCAGUGGCGAAGGCGGCCUACUGGGCACCAACUGACGCUGAGGCU